AUUGAACGCUGGCGGCAGGCCUAACACAUGCAAGUCGAGCGAGCGGCGGACGGGUGAGUAAUGUAUGGGGACUGCCCGAUGGAGGGGGAUAACUACUGGAAACGGUGGCUAAUACCGCAUACUAUCGGAUAACCCAUAUGGGAUUAGCUUGUAGGUGAGGUAAUGGCUCCCCUAGGCGACGAUCCCUAGCUGGUCUGAGAGGAUGAUCAGACACACGGGGACUGAGACACGGCCCAGACUCCUACGGAGGCAGCGGUGGGGAAUAUUGCACAAUGGGCGCAAGCCUGAUGCAGCCAUGCCGCGUGUAUGAAGAAGGCCCUAGGGUUGUAAAGUACUUUCAGUCGGGAGGCGUUACCGACAGAAGAAGCACCGGCUAACUCCGUGCCAGCCGCCGCGGUAAUAC
rnacentral:rRNA from 1 species